GCUUAUACAUGCAAGUCGAGCGAACUGAUUAGAAGCUUGCUUCUAUGACGUUAGCGGCGGACGGGUGAGUAACACGUGGGCAACCUGCCUGUAAGACUGGGAUAACUUCGGGAAACCGAAGCUAAUACCGGAUAGGAUCUUCUCCUUCAUGGGAGAUGAUUGAAAGAUGGUUUCGGCUAUCACUUACAGAUGGGCCCGCGGUGCAUUAGCUAGUUGGUGAGGUAACGGCUCACCAAGGCAACGAUGCAUAGCCGACCUGAGAGGGUGAUCGGCCACACUGGGACUGAGACACGGCCCAGACUCCUACGGGAGGCAGCAGUAGGGAAUCUUCCGCAAUGGACGAAAGUCUGACGGAGCAACGCCGCGUGAGUGAUGAAGGCUUUCGGGUCGUAAAACUCUGUUGUUAGGGAAGAACAAGUACGAGAGUAACUGCUCGUACCUUGACGGUACCUAACCAGAAAGCCACGGCUAACUACGUGCCAGCAGCCGCGGUAAUACGUAGGUGGCAAGCGUUAUCCGGAAUUAUUGGGCGUAAAGCGCGCGCAGGCGGUUUCUUAAGUCUGAUGUGAAAGCCCACGGCUCAACCGUGGAGGGUCAUUGGAAACUGGGGAACUUGAGUGCAGAAGAGAAAAGCGGAAUUCCACGUGUAGCGGUGAAAUGCGUAGAGAUGUGGAGGAACACCAGUGGCGAAGGCGGCUUUUUGGUCUGUAACUGA
rnacentral:rRNA from 2 species